ACGCACGCUGGCGGCGUGCUUAACACAUGCCAGUCGAACGGAAAGGCCCUGCUUGCAGGGUACUCGAGUGGCGAACGGGUGAGUAACACGUGGGUGAUCUGCCCUGCACUUCGGGAUAAGCCUGGGAAACUGGGUCUAAUACCGGAUAGGAGCCAUUUUUAGUGUGAUGGUUGGAAAGUUUUUUCGGUGUAGGAUGAGCUCGCGGCCUAUCAGCUUGUUGGUGGGGUAAUGGCCUACCAAGGCGGCGACGGGUAGCCGGCCUGAGAGGGUGGACGGCCACAUUGGGACUGAGAUACGGCCCAGACUCCUACGGGAGGCAGCAGUGGGGAAUAUUGCACAAUGGGCGCAAGCCUGAUGCAGCGACGCCGCGGGGGGGAUGACGGCCUUCGGGUUGUAAACUCCUUUCGCUAGGGACGAAGCUUUUUGUGACGGUACCUAGAUAAGAAGCACCGGCUAACUACGUG
rnacentral:rRNA from 1 species